rnacentral:lncRNA from 1 species
UUAGGGUGUGCGUAAAAAUCCGAAUUUCAAGUUUUUGGUUCUAAGGAUUUGGAAAGAGAGAAUAAAUUAGAAGAAAAUUAUUUUCUUCUUUAUAUUUCUUUUACCUCUUCAUCUCCUCUAGAAAUCUAUCUUUAACCUUUGGAAAGAUUCCAGAGAUUUGAAGAAAAAAUCUAGAUCAGCUAAGAAGAAAGUCUUUGCACAAGCUUGCACUCUCGAGAAG